GCCGGUAUGGCGGAAUUGGUAGACGCACUCGACUCAAAAUCGAGCGGGAAACCAUGUCAGUUCGACUCUGACUACCGGCACCA
rnacentral:tRNA from 1 species